CUAGCCAUACACCUCACAACUCCUGGUAAGUAACGUUAGUCAGCUAAUCCUACUUACGUUUGUAACACUUUAUUAAAAAGUUAAUAAUUAUUAAGCAUUUCCUAACAAUUGUCUUUGUAUUUUACGUCAUAUUCAACAAGUUUCGUAGCUUAAUCGAAGUCACCUGAAGGACGGCUUUCCUCAGCAACGGCAAGGCCCGCACUCCUCUCAUAUUGUGAAGUUUAACAAGUUUCGCGGCUCAAGCAAGAGGCACCUGUCACUGAAGGACUGCUUUUCUCAGCUACGACGUGAACAGCAUUACUCGAAUUUCCUGGUUCAGCUGAUCUACCCAUCUUCGUACAAGCAGAGUUGGCAGAGGAGGUCAUAAAAAUCUACAUCCUUCGGAACAAUGAUGGGGCAGUCAGCGAUGUAAUCUUGGGAAUCACAGCAGAGCCUGCUGCCAUCUUUUGGGAGUCACAUUGGAUUUGAGAUAUCCCAAGACCCACAAAUACAGGUCCU